AAUAGAUACCCAGGUAGUCCACGCCGUAAACGAUGAGUGCUAAGUGUUAGAGGGUUUCCGCCCUUUAGUGCUGCAGCUAACGCAUUAAGCACUCCGCCUGGGGAGUACGGUCGCAAGACUGAAACUCAAAGGAAUUGACGGGGGCCCGCACAAGCGGUGGAGCAUGUGGUUUAAUUCGAAGCAACGCGAAGAACCUUACCAGGUCUUGACAUCCUUUGCCACUUCUAGAGAUAGAAGGUUCCCCUUCGGGGGACAAAGUGACAGGUGGUGCAUGGUUGUCGUCAGCUCGUGUCGUGAGAUGUUGGGUUAAGUCCCGCAACGAGCGCAACCCUUGAUCUUAGUUGCCAGCAUUCAGUUGGGCACUCUAAGGUGACUGCCGGUGACAAACCGGAGGAAGGUGGGGAUGACGUCAAAUCAUCAUGCCCCUUAUGACCUGGGCUACACACGUGCUACAAUGGAUGGUACAAAGGGCUGCGAGACCGCGAGGUUUAGCCAAUCCCAUAAAAACCAUUCUCAGUUCGGAUUGCAGGCUG
rnacentral:rRNA from 1 species